rfam:Postia placenta Mad-698-R POSPLscaffold_9_Cont792, whole genome shotgun sequence.
GACACCAUAGCCAAGUGGUUACGGCGACAGAUUCGAAUCACGUAAUAUCUGUUCCUCUUCGAGGGCGUAGGUUCGAAUCCUGCUGGUGUCG